rnacentral:rRNA from 1 species
UCGGUGAUGCACUUAACAGAUUAAGUGUUCCGCCUGGGGAGUACGGUCGCAAGAUUAAAACUCAAAGGAAUAGACGGGGACCCGCACAAGUGGUGGAGCAUGUGGUUUAAUUCGAAGAUACGCGAAGAACCUUACCUAGCCUUGACAUUGAUAGAACACCCUAGAGAUAGAGUGGUGCCCUUCGGGGAGCUUGAAAACAGGUGCUGCACGGCUGUCGUCAGCUCGUGUCGUGAGAUGUUGGGUUAAGUCCCGCAACGAGCGCAACCCUCAUUCUUAGUUGCCAGCAGGUUAAGCUGGGCACUCUAAGGAGACUGCCUUCGCAAGGAGGAGGAAGGUGAGGACGACGUCAAGUCAUCAUGGCCCUUAUGGCUAGGGCUACACACGUGCUACAAUGGGGCGUACAGAGAGUUGCGAUACCGCGAGGUGGAGCCAAUCUCAUAAAGCGUCUCUCAGUUCGGAUUGUUCUCUGCAACUCGAGAGCAUGAAGCUGGAAUCACUAGUAAUCGUAGAUCAGCAAUGCUACGGUGAAUACGUUCCCGGGUCUUGUACUCACCGCCCGUCACACCAUGGGAGUUGAUUUCACCCGAAAUCGGGAAGCUAACCUUCGGGGGGCUACCGCUUACGGUGGAAUUAGCGACUGGGGUGAAGUCGUAACAAGGUAAGUAUU